rnacentral:rRNA from 1 species
GAUGAACGCUAGCGGGAGGCUUAAUACAUGCAAGUCGAGCGGCAAGUUUUGAUAGCAAUAUUGGAACCUUAGAGCGGCGCACGGGUGAGUAACGCGUACAUGACCUGCCCUAUACUGGGGGAUAGUCUUGGGAAACUGAGAAUAAUCCCGCAUGUGAUUAGAAUGCUGCAUGGCAAAUUAUUAAAGCUGAGGCGGUAUAGGGAUGGGUGUGCGUCUGAUUAGCUAGUUGGUAGUGUAACGGACUACCAAGGCGAUGAUCAGUAGGGGCUGAGAGCGUGA